CGAGUUGGUUGGGCGAUCGCUCCUCACGUGUGAGGGGAGGAAAGUCCGGGCUCCACAGGGCAGGGUGCCAGAUAACUUCUGGGGGGCGUGAGCCUACGGAAAGUGCAGCAGAAAGGAUACCGCCUCUGUUCGCAGAGGUAAGGGUGAAAAGGUGCGGUAAGAGCGCACCGCGUGGCUGGUAACAGGCGCGGCGAUGGUAAACCCCACUCGGAGCAAGACCAAAUAGGAACCCUUAAGCCGCGGCCCGCGGCGGGUUCGGGUAGGUCGCUUCAGGCAAUCGGUGACGGUUGUCGCAGAUGAAUGGUCGUCCACGACAGAACCCGGCUUACAGACCGACUCGCUUA
rnacentral:RNase_P_RNA from 1 species